rnacentral:rRNA from 1 species
UACGUAGGGCGCAAGCGUUAUCCGGAAUUAUUGGGCGUAAAGAGCUCGUAGGCGGUUUGUCGCGUCUGCCGUGAAAGUCCGGGGCUCAACUCCGGAUCUGCGGUGGGUACGGGCAGACUAGAGUGAUGUAGGGGAGACUGGAAUUCCUGGUGUAGCGGUGGAAUGCGCAGAUAUCGAGAGGAACACCUGCGGCGAAGGCGGCGACCUGGAUAGAUACUGACGCUGAGGUGCGAAAGCGUGGGGAGCAAACAGG